UUCCUUUUCAAAUGCCAUCAUAAUCGUACGAUUCGUGCUUACGUAACCUUUGGAGAAAGAGACAGAGGGAUUCUUGAAAAAAGAUAUCAAUGAAGAAAAAGAAAGAAAAAUCCUUUUAACUCGCUUCGUGUCUCUCUCUUGCCAAAUAAAAUACGUUCAAGGUCAGAAGAAGAGAGGUCAGGGUCACAGAUAGAGUUAUGUCUGAAUUGAACAUCAUUUUGUACGGAGCGACGAGGAGCACUUAACUUAUCCGUCCGAAUGUCUGUGAUCGUGUGUGCGUGUCAUAGGUCCCAUUAUCGUGGCCACUUGAUGCCGUAGAAUGACGAUACUAACCAGAUGUAUAUACAUAUACCGUAUGUAUGUACUUUGUACAUAUCUCUCUCUCUCUCUCUCUCUCUCUCUCUAUCCUUUUCUCUCUGACCUACAAUUUUGGGCUCGAUUGAACCGAACUUUUUUCUUUUACAUUUACUCUAUAAAAAUUUCGUCUUCUAAUUGAAAGAAAAAAAUAAAUGAGAACGUGUAACACGUGACGUACAAACGAAAGAUCGUCAAAAUCAUUUUCUUUAUACGCUUUUUUCUAAACCGGUUGAAUACCAUUUCAAAUGACAAUCUGAUCAAUGAUUAUGCAUCGAUUAUGCGCUCGAUCGAUGGAUCGUUAGAUCACGUAGAAGAGAUUUAAUUGCUUCAUCCUCUUCCUUUCAUUUCUCUUUCUCUUUCGUUCGUGAUUAGCUAAUCUUCAAGGAAUAUUCACGUUCCAUUUGCCGAGGUUUCAUCGAGGAGGAGGAGAAGGAAGAAGACGGAGAUGAGCUGGAUAAAAGUUCGAACGAAGGGAGUGCGUAAAGUUUGAUUUUAUUGUCCAUUCGGUAGGUGGGAAAGACGCGUGUAAGGACGAUAAGCAUCGAAACGAGAGAGUGCAUACCAAACCUCUCUCUCUCACUCUCUCUCUCUCUCUCUCUCUCUCUUUAUCUUCUAUAUAACUCGAAACAAUCUUACAGAUUUUCUCAUCGAGAAAGAGAAAGAAAGAGAGAGGAAGCAAUCCCCUUCGACGACACCGUUUUUCGAAUCGAAUCGACGUUCCUCGAUCGCUCGGCAGAAAGCUUACUUUGCAUUUUACUUUUCUCUCUCUCUCUGUCUCUCUCUCUUGCUUCUGUGAUUUGUACUCCUGAUCGUAGAUAGAAACGAAUGCGUCUCGAGUUUCCUAUCUAUAACAAGACUCUCCAUUAGAAUCGCUCGUACCGAAUUAUCUUACGAUAGGGUUCGAUAAUAUAUUAGGAAAUAAAUGCGCUUCGGCUUUGCCAUUCGCGCUAUUUCUAACAAUUACAUUCAUUUCUCGGUGAGUAUUUAAAUUGGGUAAGAAUUAAAUCGUUCGAUCCAAUUGAGAAAAAAAAAAAGAAAAAGAAAAAAAAGUAAAAGUCUACGAUGUUAUCGCUUCCUUUCAUUUUUUUUCUUCUUCCUUCUAUUUUUUUAAGCUACGAUCCGGAUAAAAUAAAAAAAGGAAGAGAAAGAGAAAGAGAUAAGUUGAGGUUGGCGCCAACGAAAGAAAUGUUAGAUUCUAAGUGGUAUUUUACCUUAUGUAUAUAGAUACCGUAUGUUGAGGGAAGUCGAUCGGAACGUCGAUAAAAUUAAGAAUGCACGUGGUUCUGGUUUUUAAUGAAUGAACGUCUAGUCGAAGAGAGGAAGGAUGAAGCGUAAAGAGAACGUACAUAUAUAUAUAUACAUAUGUAUAUGUAUAUACACAGAGAGAAAUAAAUAGAUAGAGAUAGAUAGAAAGAGAGAAAGAAAAAGGGAGAUGGGUGAAAGAGAAAAGGAACAAGUAGAAGAGUAAAACAGAGUGGGGAUGAAUAAGAGAAGAGAAGAGAAGGACGAUGAGUAGGAACGCGUUAACAUGCUCGCGUAAUACGAGGCCGGAACGGAUAGUCUCGUCGGCUCGGCUCGGCGCAUCCGCGGAGAUCUACAUAAUGUUUAUUAUGCUAACCUAGGCCAACGCGCUUGCAUCAACAAGUGUUAUAUUAUCAUUCAAAUAAAAUGUUUUAAUCUGCAUACGUUUUAUCAAAGGGUCCCGCGGGUAGCCGAACGCUGACUUUGUCUGCUUGUGUGCUUGUGCAUGUGCUGCAUAUGUGUGUAUUAGCGCAGAAACUGGGCACGUGCCGUGUGAACGAAUAAAAACAAGAAAAGGCAAAAAAAAAAGAGAACAGGAAAAAACAAAAAGAAAAUAAAGAGUCGGUCGACACCAUUUUUCGAUCCUCGCUGUCACGCCAUUACUAUAAUUCAUCAGGGUAUCGUCGUGUCUAAGCUCGACGAUUUGUCAGACCGGACGUCGAGAGACACGGGAGUAGCAGUGCUGCGGGCAGAGCGUGAAGAAAAAAAAAGGAGAGAAAGAAAAAAAAGAGGAAGAGGAUGAAGAAGAAGAAGAAGAAUAAAGGGCCGCUUCAUUAAGGGAGGAGAAGGGUGUGAACGGUGUUAAAGGAGCGACGACAGCGGCGGAAUAGAUGAUAAUGAUGGCGUCGGCGUCGGCAUCGGCGUCAGCGUCGGCGGCAACGGCAACGGCAACAGCAGCUUUUGAUGACAAUGACGACGAAGAAGAGAUGCAGGCGACGGUGUCAACGUGGACGACGGCGACGGCAGCGACGGCGACGACGGCGGCGGCAGCGGCGGCGGCAGCGGCGGCGGCGACGACGUCGACGACGUCGACGAUGACGAUGAAGCCAAACGGCUUUCAUGUUUUCACUUAACUUACUAGCUCUUUUUAUCUAAUACAUUAUUUACAGUCCAUA